rnacentral:rRNA from 1 species
UAUGGAGGGGGCUAGCGUUGUUCGGAAUUACUGGGCGUAAAGCGCACGUAGGCGGACCAGCAAGUUGGGGGUGAAAUCCCGGGGCUCAACCCCGGAACUGCCUUCAAAACUGCGGGUCUGGAGGUCGAGAGAGGUGAGUGGAAUUCCGAGUGUAGAGGUGAAAUUCGUAGAUAUUCGGAGGAACACCAGUGGCGAAGGCGGCUCACUGGCUCGAACCUGACGCUGAGGUGCGAAAGCGUGGGGAGCAAACAGG